GAUUUCUGGUACGAUAUGCCUGGCCCGACCUCGUCAGAGGCUCGAGUGCCGGUGUGUGUCUGCCAUCUUUCUAGAGAGCGGCACUUCCCUUCAUUGGAGAGGUGUUCGUCAUCUAGAUCUUUUACUUUGAAAAAAUUAGAGUGUUUAAAGCAGGCUUGCGCUAUGAAUACAUUAGCAUGGAAUAAUAAUUUAGGACUUUGUUUCUAUUUUGUUGGUUUCUAGAGGCGAAGUAAUGAUUGAUAGGGAUAGUUGGGGGUGCUAGUAUUCAGCGGCCAGAGGUGAAAUUCUUGGAUUCGCUGAAGACUAACUUAUGCGAAAGCAUU
rnacentral:rRNA from 1 species